rnacentral:rRNA from 1 species
UACGAAGGGGGCUAGCGUUGCUCGGAAUCACUGGGCGUAAAGGGCGCGUAGGCGGCCACGACAAGUCACUUGUGAAAUCCCCGGGCUCAACCCGGGAACUGCGUCCGAUACUGGCAGGCUUGAAUCCGGGAGAGGGAUGCGGAAUUCCAGGUGUAGCGGUGAAAUGCGUAGAUAUCUGGAGGAACACCGGUGGCGAAGGCGGCAUCCUGGACCGGCAUUGACGCUGAGGCGCGAAAGCCAGGGGAGCAAAGCGGGG